GACUACCGCGCGGGCAAUUUCGAGCCCGGCGGGGCGGGAGAAAUAAAGUUUGGGCAGUUUUAGCUGAACGUUAUGACUUUCCCGGUGGCUGAAUUGCGGUGGCCCAAGCACCUUCUCCCGCUGGAAGAAGUUGAUAACUUGUUGCGUUGUGGAAUAUGCUUUGAUUACUUCAACACUGCGAUGAUAAUUCCACAGUGUUCACAUAAUUAUUGUUCUCUCUGUAUUCGCAAGUCGCUGUCCUACAAACCUCAGUGUCCUAUAUGCUGUA